CUCGUAGGCGGUUCAGUAAGUCGGUCGUGAAAGCCCGGGGCUCAACCCCGGGACGCCGAUCGAAACUGCUGUGACUAGGGUUCGGUAGAGGAGAGUGGAAUUCCCGGUGUAGCGGUGAAAUGCGCAGAUAUCGGGAGGAACACCAGUAGCGAAGGCGGCUCUCUGGGCCGAUACCGACGCUGAGGAGCGAAAGCUAGGGGAGCAAACAGGAUUAGAUACCCUGGUAGUCC
rnacentral:rRNA from 1 species